CAGUAGCCGCGGUAAUACGUAGGUGGCAAGCGUUGUCCGGAAUUAUUGGGCGUAAAGGGCUCGCAGGCGGUUUCUUAAGUCUGAUGUGAAAGCCCCCGGCUCAACCGGGGAGGGUCAUUGGAAACUGGGAAACUUGAGUGCAGAAGAGGAGAGUGGAAUUCCACGUGUAGCGGUGAAAUGCGUAGAGAUGUGGAGGAACACCAGUGGCGAAGGCGACUCUCUGGUCUGUAACUGACGCCGAGGAGCGAAAGCGUGGGGAGCGAACAGGAUUAGAGACCCCAGUAGUCCCUGUCUCUUAUAC
rnacentral:rRNA from 1 species